CCUACGGGUGGCUGCAGUGGGGAAUAUUGGACAAUGGGGGGAACCCUGAUCCAGCCAUGCCGCGUGUGUGAAGAAGGCCCUCGGGUUGUAAAGCACUUUCAGUGAGGAAGAACGCCUGGUGGUUAAUACCCAACAGGAAAGACAUCACUCACAGAAGAAGCACCGGCUAACUCCGUGCCAGCAGCCGCGGUAAUACGGAGGGUGCGAGCGUUAAUCGGAAUUACUGGGCGUAAAGCGCGCGUAGGUGGCUUGAUAAGCCGGUUGUGAAAGCCCCGGGCUCAACCUGGGAACGGCAUCCGGAACUGUCAAGCUAGAGUGCAGGAGAGGAAGGUAGAAUUCCCGGUGUAGCGGUGAAAUGCGUAGAGAUCGGGAGGAAUACCAGUGGCGAAGGCGGCCUUCUGGACUGACACUGACACUGAGGUGCGAAAGCGUGGGUAGCAAACAGGAUUAGAUACCCUGGUAGUC
rnacentral:rRNA from 1 species